UUGGACUCUCAGAGACUCACCAGCCACGUUUAAAGUUAAACCUUGGCUGAAAGAGCAAUCACACCAGCACAAUGGUGGAGCAGAGACAGGGGCGGGCUGGGGUGUCCACAGGCAUGCACGAGCUGGAGUCAAUGCUUCACCCCCUCCUCCUCCCCCUACCUCCAGAGAAGGGAUGCAGCGAGCCAAUUGUGGCAGGGAGCUCUGUGAUUGGCUGAAGCCGAUGCUCCGCCCCGCGAGGCUUGAUAUGGGAAUUUACUGGCGCCAGCCGCAUCAGUCUGCGCCACAUCUCAUUAAUGAGCCGCACUGA
rnacentral:lncRNA from 1 species